rnacentral:rRNA from 1 species
UACAGAGGUCCCAAGCGUUGUUCGGAUUCACUGGGCGUAAAGGGUGCGUAGGUGGUGAGGUAAGUCGGAUGUGAAAUCUCCGAGCUCAACUCGGAAACUGCAUUGGAAACUACCUUGCUCGAGGGUUGGAGGGGGGACUGGAAUGCUUGGUGUAGCAGUGAAAUGCGUAGAUAUCAAGCGGAACACCAGUGGCGAAGGCGAGUCCCUGGACAACUCCUGACACUGAUGCGCGAAAGCUAGGGGAGCAAACAGG